rnacentral:rRNA from 1 species
GAUCGAGCUACAAAGAGCUAAAGGUGGAUACCUAGGCACACAGAG